AAUAUUAAAUAAUAACCUUCGUAUAAGCUUAAUAAUAUGGUUUAAGCGUAUCUACAAUAUCACCGUAAAUGAUAUUUGCUAUGAAGAUUU
rnacentral:ncRNA from 1 species